CUCUCAUCUCCUUCAAGCUUUGUGACUCCAUGGCAAGGGAAGAAGAAAUACAUUUUUCUCUCAUCCUCUUCAAACCGUACGAGAACACUCCCUCCAUGCCCAUUUUCAGUUUUGCCACAAAGCUUAUUUUCAUCUUCAAAAGGGUGACAUCUUGAAGGGAUAACACAGUGCUAUUAUUUUGCUCUUCAUCCACAUGACUAUUUCACUAUUUGGUCUUCCACUUGUGUUUUGAAAGGAGAUAAGAGCUUAAGGUAAUGACGAAAAGGCUAGGGAGCAAGGCACUACUGUAGAGGGAGAGGUAGACGCUUAGUCUCUUCCCUAACUAGAACAAUUAUGUUUAUGGAUGA